rnacentral:rRNA from 1 species
GACGAACGCUGGCGGCGUGCUUAACACAUGCAAGUCGAACGGAAAGGCCCCUUUGGGGGUACUCGAGUGGCGAACGGGUGAGUAACACGUGAGUAACCUGCCCUUGACUUCGGGAUAACUUCAGGAAACUGGGGCUAAUACCGGAUAGGAAUCCUUGCUGCAUGGUGGGGGUUGGAAAGCUUCGGCGGUUUUGGAUGGACUCGCGGCGUAUCAGCUUGUUGGUGGGGUAGUGGCUUACCAAGGCUUUGACGGGUAGCCGGCCUGAGAGGGCGACCGGCCACAUUGGGACUGAGAUACGGCCCAGACUCCUACGGGAGGCAGCAGUGGGGAAUAUUGCACAAUGGGCGGAAGCCUGAUGCAGCAACGCCGCGGGCGGGAUGACGGCCUUCGGGUUGUAAACCGCUUUCAGCAGGGGCGAAGCUUGUGGUGACGGUACCUGCAGAAGAAGCACCGGCUAACUACGUG